rnacentral:lncRNA from 1 species
AGUCACGACCCUUUCUGGGCCUGUGAGUGGAGCGAGGCAGAGCCCACUGUGCCCAUUUUACGGAGAGAGGGAGGGAAACAGACAUGAAUACCUAUUCCUUGCCGUGUACUUCAUAUCCAUUUUCACAUAAUCCAAUUAACCAUUCUCUCUAUGUAUGGAUUAGAGGUUAUUGUCCCCAUUUUCCAGAUGAGGAAAUUGAGGCUUGGGGGGUUUAAGGAUUUUGUAGCGGAGCUGGUAUCUGAGCCCUAUUCUCUCCAUGGUUCUGUAGUGUGUUUGUGGCCCACUGUCACUGUAACCUCGGCCGGGAAUGUGCACACAGAUGCAGACGCUCGUAGCCUCUCCUGACACCUUUUAUUGUCUUUGGUGCCCCCUCAGCUUUCCUUCUGGUCCCCCAUGGUGUCUUCAUGGCUGUUCUGGCUCUGCCCCUCGGCGGACACACUCACUCCCCCAGGUCUGUGUGGUCAGCCAGGGAGGACUGUAUUGUCCUGAGAAGGGGUGGGGCAGAGACUUCAGCCCUCCCACCCACCUAGGGGACAUUCACUAAAUGGCCCAGAGCUCUCCCACUGCAGCCAUUCUCGGCUGGGUUGGUCUCUGUCACCAUUAGGCAUUCAUCAUGACACUGUCCUGUGCCAACCAUCUCAGCCAAGGAUGGUUCCCAGCCUUUCUUGUCUCUCUGCCUCCUCUGAGAUCCACAUAGAGACUUGAACAGGACGUCAUGGAGCAAGGGUGCUCCCCUGAUGAUGGCGCUCCCUCGACACAGUUGUCAUGAGCGUCCUUUCUAGAUGCUGCUGACCCUUGCGGGCAGCGUGUGUUACAGAGCGUGGUUGGGACCGAGCUCCCCAGGGACAUGGCUUCCCAUGGAUGGUGCUCACUUCAGCUGGCCCUCGCCCUGGACAGUCCCCGCCAUGCUCGGUGCAAGCAGGACCCAGAGGGCCCCAGUGGACUUCACACCCAAACACACAGGACGUGUGGCUCCAAGCGCCCUAGAUGCCGGAGCCUCAGUUUUACCUUUUGUAAAGGGAGGCAACACUGUCAGCUCAGCUUCCUUCCUGGGCUUUUUGGGUGCUGGUGGGGAGCUCCCCUCAACUCGCAGGGGAGAAAACAUCGCCAGGGGGCAGUUAACCAUCAUGCGGUCCUCAGACCAGCCCUGGUUGCCUGCCCUGCAGCUCCCGGGUGCUUCUCAAUUAGUGCAAACCCCAGCGGUGCUGCCCCGUGAGCCUGGGCGGGUUGGCACAGCAGGGGCUGGAGAGGGGCCACUGCUGAAGGGCGAGCAGCCUUUUCAGCAAAUUAUCCCUCCACAUUCUCAGAGAGGAGGAAUUAUUGGCAGAAAAUGAGGAUAUAAACCCCCGCCGGAGCUGAGCACCUUUUUGGGGCGCUGUGCAUUGAGCACUUGGAACCGUCCAGCAGACUAGUUCAUUUUAAUGAUCUGGGACUAUAGUUCAUCUGUUUAAUUCAAACGAGGUGACAUAAUAUCUUUCAUUUGGACUUAUUACUGCAUGGCGGUGAUUCGGCUCCCAGCAUUCUCCGGGCAGGACAUGCUGUCAUUACUGCACAUUUUCUCUCUCUGGCCGAAUUGAAAGUCCAUGGCAAGGGCUGCAGCCUCGGAAAGGAGGGAGCAACAGAGAAUAGGUCACAUCGGGUAUUAAGGAAUGAAAAUGAAUUCAUUCUGUCCUCGUUGAGUAAGCAGCUGUACUUGGGUCUCCGUGAUCCAUGAAAUAGGCUGUCAGGAAAAUAGGAAAUGGGCUGCAUUUGAACUUCCCCUGUUGAUUCUGCCCCUUGCCUUGGGGACUGGUGUUGCCUCCGCCGGCCCAGGGCAGGGGCAGGGGGAGUGGGGCGCUCACAUUUACUGGGCGCCCACUGCAUGCCGGAAGCCUGGCUUCAUCAGUCCUGUGGGGAGCCAUGUUAUUAUCCCCAUUCUGCAGAGGAGGACAGCGAGGCUCAGAAAGAUCCAGAGACUUGCUCAAGAUGACUCAGAUGCAGAACCCUGCUUCCGUUUGAGGUGCCGAACGUUGUGGCUGGGAACUCGGCCUGAGGAAGCUCGGAGCCUCACUCUGCUGUGGCCAAGCUGCUCAACGUGCAGUGUCAGCUUACCGCGUGACAGAAACCCUGCUGUCACCGCAUUUCCAUGAGGGCUCAGUGAGGGGGUGAACACGGGGCUCCGUGCGCAGUGACCGCUCACGGUGUUGUCGUUGUUACUGUGAACUUCUGCCUUUCCACUCCUCAGAUGACAGCAUGCGAGAAUGGAGCCUGGAGACCUGGUGACUUGCCCUAUGACCUAGUGAGGUGGCGCUGGGGCUGGGAUCCGUCCCUUGGACUCACUCGGGAGUCCCUGUUCUUUCUGCUCCACCGGGCAGUAGAAAGUCUGGGCUAGGGACAGGGUUUUGAUGUUUACCGUGGAAUUACCCCCUCCUCUGCGAACCCCUCCCCUCCAUAACGCCCUUCACCAGCCCUAAAGAUUUUCUUUGGUUACCUGGUUCAAUGUUUGUCGCCCACAUGCCCGAGCAUUCCCGUGAGAGAGGGCUUGGGUCGGGUAACUGCUGCAUCCCCAGUACCCUGAAUCAGGCUGGGACUGCAGGAGGCGGACGAGGCAGGGCCCUCAAGUGCAGGCUUAGAUCCUGUCUAUCGUUAAAAUUUUGAUAUUUUGUCCAUCAUGGAUAUUUUUACAUUGAUUUUUGUUUUGAAUAGUACUGUAUUAAAAUAUCGAUGAUGGUGAUUCCCGAGUUUUGGGCACUCUCUUAAAUUUUGCCCUGAGACGAGUGCCACCCUCGCCUCACCCUUGUCCCAGCUCUGUCGGGAACGGUGCCUGCCACGUAGUUACAGUCGGUGAAGAUCUGUGGAAUGAACGAUGCCCUCCUCUGUAUCAAGACUCAUUUCCUAAGUGCCCAGAGAAGAGACAGUCUUCCCGUGGGUAUUCAGGGCUCUGUGUGUGAAGGACGUGGAACCCCAGACUGAAUCUCUUGUGCUUGGCUCCAUGAUUAGGGGACAGCUGUGAGCUAAAGAAGAAGGGUGCAUCCCUUCUGGGAUCUGAUCAUGGAGCCACUCAGAACUCAGGUCUCUGAGCCUAAUGGGAGAAGUGAAGGCGAGAAGUCUGCCAGUCUCUGAAAACCUAUGUGGAGUUUCAUGGCAAUUAAACGCCACACCGAGUUGGACUGACAAUCGUUAGCGUAAUGAGGUCUGGCUGGGCGCCGCUCCCCCUGCUCCCACAUGGCGCUCAACAGGGCUGAGCUGGUUAGCGUUCUGCCGGGAUGCUUCUGAUGCUCCAUUGCAGUGAAAUAUCAGAUCUUGCCUCUACCUGUGGCUUUAUUUCCCUCCAAAGCUGAGAUUUCAUGGAGAUGCACUCUUAUAAUUAAGGUGGGGCUGAGAAAUAAUGUCCUAUAUAAUUUAAAAUGGUAAAAUUACCCAUACCUCUUCCAGCCUCAGCUUUAAAUCUUAGCCACCAAUGACUCCCCUAUUAAUGGGCCUAAUUAAAUCCAUUUUUCAGGACGUCUUUGGCAAAUUCCAUUUUAGCAAAACUGUAGGAAGUUCAAUUUAAUUUGUCUCUGCUCCCCAGGGCUGUCCUGUAAAAAUGAGGACAGGGUGGAUGCUCGUCUCUAGUGUCUUAUGUUUAUUAAUUCCCUCAACAAAUAUUUAUUGAGCACCUACUAUGUGCAUUGGCAUUGAACUAGGGGAAGAAGAGGGAGCAGUGAAAAAAUAAUAAGGUUGCUAUUCUUAUGGCCAGAGGGGGAGGGAGGUCAUUCAUUCAUUCAACAAACAUGUACUGAGUCAUCUAAUGAGGGAGCCACUGUGGAAGGCUCUGGUGUUGUAGUGAUGAAAGAUGUCCUAGGAAGGUCACUACCUGUUAAGAGAUGGCGGUACAGAUAGUUAAUAUUCAGUGUGAUAAAUGCUCUGAUGGGGUGAAGCAGAGGAAACUCAGAGGAAAACUCCGGACUCAGACUGGGAAGUUUUAAGUGAUAAGUAGAUGUCAUGCACGUGAAGCAAGGAGAGAGGAAGGUGUUGCAAGAGUGGGAUGACCGGCACAGGGGCCACGGGGGAACACGGGAGCUGUGCAGAACUCUAAGCCAUUGCUUCUUAGCUCUGGCUGCAUGUUAGAAUCGCUUGGGGGCUUUGAAAAAAUACCAGUGGCUGUGCCUCACCCCGACCAUGUAAAUCAUAAUUUCUGGGGAUGGGAUCAAGGCACUGAUAUUUUCUUAAAGCUUUCCAGGUGAUGCUAAUAAUUCAGCCAGGGUGGAGAGCUGCUCGGCUAAAGCAUGCGAAGUGGCGGGAGGUGAGGCUCGACAGGUGGACAGGGACUGGAUCGCGAAGGAUCCUGGAGGCCUGUUAAGGGAUCUGAACCUUACCUGAGGUCGUGAGAUCGUGGAAGGGUUGCCAGCAGAGUGAGGAAGGACUCAUAUUUGCACUUUGGAAGGAACUGCUCUGCCAACAGUGCAGAGGAGGGGCUGGACUGGGGCCUCUGGAGCCAGAGGAACAGGUGAAGAGACUGAUGCAGCCAUCUGAGUACAAGAGGAUGGUGGCCCGAGCCCAGGGUCAUGACCUGGGGAAGGAGAGGAGAGAUCUGUAGGAGGCUGGGGGGACAAGAUUGAGUGGUGAGCUGUGCAUCCUGCACGAAGAAGGGAAGCAGUUUGAGAUGACUCCAAGUGGCCCCGGUGACUGGAGGAUGGUCGUGACAUUAAUCAGAGAGGGGCAAGAAAAGAAUGGUUUGGGUUUAGGACAUGUUGGAGAGAUUUGAUGGGCAGCUGGAGUGGAGAUCUGCCACUUGGGACUGUGCUCUGUGGGCACAGAGCAACUGGGAAGUCAACUGUGACUCCUACUUGGAAGGAACCAUCCAAGGAGAGUGUGCAACCUCAGAGUAAGAGGAGAAGAAGGCCAGGGGUGGUGGAGCCUUAGGAAUCUCAACAUUUAAAGGGCACUUGGAGUUUUGAGGAGCUGAGAAAGAACUUGAGGAGGAAUGGCAGAGAGGUAGGAGGGAAAGCAGAGAGAGAGUGACGUCAUGAAGCCAAGGAAGGAGAGAGUUCUGAGAAAAGAGUGGCAACGUGUUGAAAGCUGUGCAGAAGCCAACUAAAAUGGAAGACCAUCCUAUAUGUUUAGGAAAAAACAACUUUGCUGAGACAUUGGGGGUAGAAAGCAGACUGCAGUGGGUUGCAGAGCAAAUGGAACAGAGAUGGGUAUAGGUAAACUCCUGGUCCAAGAAAGGGAAGCAAGAGGUUGCACAGUACCCAGAGGAGAUGUUGGAUUGAGAAGACAUGAGCCAGGACUGAGUGCAAGUAGUUUAUUUUGGAGGUGAUGCCAGGAAAUACCAGUAGGGGAGUGAAGAAGUGAGACACAAAAGGAAACCCACAAAACCCUCUUGCAAAGAGAGCGGGUGGAAUCAGCAAGUCCAUAUCCAGAUCCCCCAUCUCAAUAAUUUCUGCACUCUGGGCAGGUUACUUGAUUUCAGAAAAGCAAAAAAAAGAAUAAAACAAAGAAAGAAAAAAGAAAAAUCAGUACCUCCAAGCUUGCAGCCAAUAAAAUGUCAAUUUCAUCGUAACCGUGUCCACAGCAUCACUAACAGUGUACUCGGCACGAGGCUGGGGAGGAGUUGGGGUAAGGGAGGCUCGUAAAAAUGGCCGAUGCAGAUAUUAAUGAUUUAAUCUGCUAACGCGGCGUGGAGGCCUCUGAGAAUCCUAUUCGUCAGCGUCCAGGAGCCCAUGAGGAGGAGGCGUGGGGAGAAGGAUCGCAGAUAGCGCCGGGAUGUGGUGCGAAUGAAGAUGAAUCGUGGAGCACAGUAUUGAUCUGCCUUGCCUGGAACGGCCACUUUCUGUUUGGAAAUAUGGAAAGCAAAUUAAUGAAUAAAUGAGCUGGCUCAGUGAGCUGUGCCCCGCUGGGAGGCCUGGUGUUUAAGCCACAUAUGCCAACAGGCUCUGAGCAAAUACAGGGAGGGAGGGGGGCUUUGCUGAGAGGGAAGAUGUGGCUCUGCGUGGUGGUCUAGAACCCGCGCCCAGAGCGGCUCUGGAGAGCAGAGGCAGGUGUCCUGGGGUCAGAUUGCUGAUGGCAUUUGGCUCUGCCUCCUGCUGGCUGUGGGGCCUUGAAAACUCGUGCAAUCUCUCUGAACCUGAGUUUCUUCAUGACAGAAAGAGGGUGGGAAAGGAUCAAUGGGAGGAUUCAACUAGGUCACCUGUGUCCUGUACUGGCUCCACCUCUUACAGGCUGUGAGAUACUGGAGAAAUCUUCUGACUUCUCUGUGCUUCGAAUUUCCCUUCUGUCGUACAAUAACACCUAUCCGUGGGACACCGUGGUGAAAAGUGGUAACUUUCAUAACUACUCAACAUUCAACAAAUAUUAAUCACUUAUUAUGUGCCAAUGACAGUUCUAGAUGCCUGGGGUAGGGCUGUGAACAAAAGGGUAACAUUCUUUCUCUCAUAGAAUUUCUUAUUUUUUUCCUGUGACUGUGCAAAUGUCCCAGCACCUCUGUUGGAAGGACUCGCCCUCUUCCACUGAGUUGUCUCUGCCCCCUGUCAACAAUCAGACGGCCGCACUUGUGUGUGGCUAACCUGGGUUUUCUAUUCUGCCCCAUCCGUCCAUGUGUCUGUCCCUCUGCCGACAGCACACUGUCUCGAUGACCGCAGCUCUAGAGGAAGUCUCCAAAGUGGGUGGAAUGAGUCCUCCCACUUUACUCUUCUUUUCCAAAUUCUACUUUCUUUGCCUUUCCAUAUAAAUCUUAGAACAAGCUUGCUUAUAUCUACGAAAAAAAUCUUGCUGGGAUUUUUGAUAGGAAUUGUGUUAACCCUGUAUUUCAACUUGGGGGGAACUGACAUCUUUACUACGCUGAGUCUUCCAAUCCAUGAACAUGGUACAUUUCUCCAUUCAGUUAGAUCUUUGAUUUCUAUCAGCAGCAUUUGUAGUCUUCAGCAUACAAUCCCUGUCAUAUUUUGCUGGAUUUAUUCCUAAAUAUUUCAUUUUUCU